rnacentral:rRNA from 1 species
UGGUGGAUCUGAAUGGACUAUCGCUGCGCGGCCGGGUCCUGUGCCCGUCGCACUUCUCGCUGGAGCGCGUCAACAGCUGCUGAGCGUGGCCCACACGGUUCAGUGGAAGGUGAGCGACCAGCUCGCUGGUCGUUGUUAUAGCCGCUGGCACCCAGGUUGCGUUUGGCAGAGGGGAGCGGUGCAUGCUCUCCCUUUUUGCGGAGGGCUGGCGUCCUGUUCCGUUCAYGUAGCUGGCUUGGAUGCACUGCGUGCAGUACGUUCUCGCCGGUGAAAUGGCGUGCAGUCAACGCACACGAUGCACCAUGGUUGUUGGCGGCCAUAUGGCUUUAUCCGACCCGUCUUGAAACACGGACCAAGGAGUCUAACAUGUGCGCAAGUCCUGGGGUGACCGAAACCCAGAGGCGCAAUGAAAGUGAAGGCCACUCCGAGUGGCCGAGGUGAGAUCCUUGCUCUACGCGGGUGAGGCGCAUCAUCGACCGACCUAUUCUACUCUUAGGAAGGUUUGAGUAAGAGCGUACAUGCUGGGACCCGAAAGA